GUAAGGGUUUCUUCACAUUUUCAUCGAAGUUAAAUCGAAGUUUGUCAAAAGUAAAAGGAUGGUAUAUGUUUAGGCUGGUUAUUAUAUAUAUUUUUUUACUAGAAGCCAAAACCGGCUUUUUUAAUACAUUAAGGUUUUUAUUUUUGUGAAAACAAAGGAAAGAAGAGAAGUCACCAUUGUUCGAACUGGAUCAACUAACGCUUCCCAGAUUUCCUGUUCCUGUGUGGAAGAAUUACCGGGAAGGGGAAAAUGGACUAAAAUUCAGGGACAAGUGGGAGUGUCUGGUAUGACCUCAUGGAGCGAUGAG